rnacentral:lncRNA from 1 species
GGCGAGGCAACAAAACCGGAAAUUUCACGGGGCAAUCGGCCAUCGACUAUCGAGGCAGGGAAUUAAUAGGGGGGCGGGCGAAUGACGCCGAAUUGGGCAGGAAGCGACGAGCACCAGCGCGUGGAGAGAGGGGGGCGGCGGCUCGGCUUAGUGGAGAGUGAUGCGGGAAACAACGAAAAAUUUUCUCGGGCAAAUCGAGAGGAGAGAGAGAUGGAGGGAGAGGACGAAAAAAUCGCAGGAUAAUUUCCCUCUUGCUCCGGCGGAUUUACCUAAUCGCCCGCGGCGGAGCACAAUCUGGG